UGGGGAAUUUUGGACAAUUGGGCGAAAGCCUGAUCCAGCAAUGCCGCGUGUGUGAAGAAGGCCUUCGGGUUGUAAAGCACUUUUGUCCGGAAAGAAAUCCUUGGCCCUAAUACAGUCGGGGGAUGACGGUACCGGAAGAAUAAGCACCGGCUAACUACGUGCCAGCAGCCGCGGUAAUACGUAGGGUGCAAGCGUUUAAUCGGAAUUACUGGGCGUAAAGCGUGCGCAGGCGGUUUGCUAAGACCGAUGUGAAAUCCCCGGGCUCAACCUGGGAACUGCAUUGGUGACUGGCAGGCUAGAGUAUGGCAGAGGGGGGUAGAAUUCCACGUGUAGCAGUGAAAUGCGUAGAGAUGUGGAGGAAUACCGAUGGCGAAGGCAGCCCCCUGGGCCAAUACUGACGCUCAUGCACGAAAGCGUGGGGAGCAAACAGGAUUAGAUACCCUGGUAGUCCACGCCCUAAACGAUGUCAACUAGUUGUUGGGGAUUCAUUUCCUUAGUAACGUAGCUAACGCGUGAAGUUGACCGCCUGGGGAGUACGGUCGCAAGAUUAAAACUUAAAUGAAUUGACGGGGUCAUAGCUGUUUCCU
rnacentral:rRNA from 1 species